AAAAAAGAAAGAAGAAGAAGAAGAACAACAAUGUGGCU
rnacentral:sRNA from 1 species